rnacentral:rRNA from 1 species
AAAAUCCGCAAUCCCGUUAACGCCGAGAUGUGAUGGGGAGGCCGCAAGGCCAUAAACGGGCUGAUCCCACGCUGCCGAGGAAAGCCUCGUAGCGAGUCAAUAUGAUGUCCGUACCGCAAACCGACACAGGUAGGUGGGUGGAAUACACCAAGGGGCGUGAGAGAACACUCCCUAAGGAACUAUGCAAUUUAGCCCCGUAACUUCGGGAGAAGGGGUGCCACGAGUAGGUAAGUCUGUACAAGGCAAGCUGAACGUGGUUGCAAUAAAGUGGCUCUAGCGACUGUUUACCAAAAACACAGGACUCUGCAAACACGAUAGUGGAUGUAUAGGGUCUGACGCCUGCCCGGUGCUGGAAGGUUAACCGGAGGAGUUAGCCGCAAGGCAAAGCUUUGAAGGGAAGCCCCAGUAAACGGCGGCCGUAACUAUAACGGUCCUAAGGUAGCGAAAUUCCUUGUCGGGUAAGUUCCGACCUGCAUGAAUGGCGCAACGACUGGAGCGCUGUCUCAGGGAGUGACUCAGCGAAUUUGUUGUUCCGGUGAAGAAGCCGGGUGCCCGCAACUAGACGGAAAGACCCUGUGCACCUUUACUACACCUUGACAUUGGGUGUUGGAAGGAUCUGUGUAGGAUAGGUGGGAGGCUGUGAGACUUGGCCGCUAGGUCAGGUGGAGCCGACGUUGAAAUACCACCCUGAUUGUUCUGAUAUUCUAACCUGGCCCUGUGAUCCAGGGCAGAGACAGUGUCUGGCGGGUAGUUUGACUGGGGCGGUCGCCUCCCAAAAGGUAACGGAGGCGCCCAAAGGUUCCCUCAGGCUGGUCGGUAAUCAGCCGUCGAGUGUAAAGGCAGAAGGGAGCUUGACUGCGAGAGCGACAGUUCGAGCAGAGACGAAAGUCGGGCUUAGUGAUCCGGUGGUUCUGCGUGGAAGGGCCAUCGCUCAACGGACAAAAGGUACGCCGGGGAUAACAGGCUGAUCUCCCCCAAGAGUUCACAUCGACGGGGAGGUUUGGCACCUCGAUGUCGACUCAUCGCAUCCUGGGGCUGAAGCUGGUCCCAAGGGUUAGGCUGUUCGCCUAUUAAAGCGGUACGAGAGUUGGGUUCAGAACGUCGUGAGACAGUUCGGUCCCUAUCUGUUGUGGGCGGAGGAGAGUUGAGAGGGGCGUUCACUAGUACGAGAGGACUGUGAAGGAUGAACCUCUGGUGUGCCGGUUGUCGUGCCAACGGCAGUGCCGGGUAGCUAUGUUCAGUUGGGAUAACCGCUGAAAGCAUCUAGCGGGAAGCCUGCCUCAAGAUAAGCUCUCCCGGGGCGCAAGCCCCCUAAAGGACACUUGUAGACUACGAGUUUGAUAGGCUGGGUGUGGAAGGCUCGUAAGGGCUGUAGCUAACCAGUACUAAUCGUCCGUGCGGCUUAACAUG